GGAGGAUGCUGCUUUAGAAAAGUGACAAAUUACAUAACAGCACACAGACAGACCGCAGCAUUGAAGGGCCUUCCUUUAUUUCUCCGUGAGAGUCACGAGAAGCUGUUCAGGAAUUGUCUGGAUACUGACCCAGAAGAGGAGAAGACAAGGGGUCUCAUAGUGGGGAUACUUUCUGUGAUGGAGGAUCACAGUUCCGCUCCUGCAAGACUUCAAAAUGUAGCUGUGGUUUUAGAAGAACAUAUCGUCUUACAAGACCUCCCUGACCUGCCAACGGCCCUUGCGUUGCUCUUUGGGCUGAUAUACGCUCUGAACAUCCAGUUUCCCAAGGAACUGCGAU
ensembl:lncRNA